GCAAAGCAGAGAGGUCAGCCUCCUAGAAGGUCACAGCCAGCAGAGACCCGGCCGGCAGGGCACACUCCCGAGGUACGACCACCCGCCGGUUCUGCGGUUCUGUUCCAGAGAAGGGAGCCUGCCUGCAGCGUGAGAUGCAACCAGCUCAGGACAAGGCCACACCCAUGCUCUGCCGGCCUUUCACUAGACUUUUCGUUUGUUAAAAUUUUAAGCAUUAGUCGAAAAGAUUUUUUUUUUUUUUUUAAGGAGAAACGGAUGAGUUUCAGGGAGUGGGUGUGAUCAUCACCCAGGAACGAAGGGUGUUCAAGGCCAGGGGCGGCGAGUGGCCAGAAGCAGGCGAGAAGGGACAAGCUGCGGCCUGGAGCUGGCGGAGCCCACGUCUGUGGUGGUCUGGCUUCACGCACUGAGACGCCUCCAGCUUGGCUGGAAAAAGCAAGGAUAGAAUGCCCUCCUCCUGGGAGGAUGAGCUGAUCCUGCUGUCUGCACAGCAUCCACCGUGUAACCCUUGGGGGCCUUUUGAACCUUGUUUCCUUUAGCAAAAAUCCCUGGAAAUGAAUUAAAAGUAACUCUAAAUAUCCUGAA